rnacentral:misc_RNA from 1 species
AAGAAUGUUAUGAGGCUUUAUAUCCAAAUGCAAAAUUCGUGUCUUACAACCUCGGUGUAAGUACUCUAAGCCUCGAGCAAUUCCAACUGCAAUUUGGAAUAAUUUUUGCCAACCUAGCUGAUAAUCAGCUUUCAGAACAUUCUCUUUAUGUAUGAACUUCUCCAGAGAUCCAUUUGGCAUGAGCUCGUAGAUGAGAGCUCGUUUAGGACCAUCGAAGCAGAAGCCUAGAAGAGUGACAAUGUUAACAUGUGAAGUUCUGCUGAUAAUGGAAACUUCAUUGAUGAAUUCUUCUUCAUUACUUUUUGAUUCAUGCAGGACCUUCACCGCCACAAGAGAACCAUCAGGUAGAUUUCCUUUGAACACACUACCAUAGCCUCCUUGGCCCAGUUUUUCUCUGAAUGAUUUGGUCAUGUUCCUCACAUCUGAAUAGCUGUAUCUUUUUGGGGCGAGGGGUCCAUUGUUUUUCAGGAUGGCCUCAAUACUUUGAUGGUUCUGAGUUCCCUUCUUCUGUGUGAAAAUGGAUUUGUCCAAUGAAUACUUUCUUCUUAUGCAACAGAGUAAAACACUUAAAGCCAAAAUUCCAACAGCUGCAGUGACCGUAGUUGCUCUAACCACCAGUAGACCGUUGUGCCCCACUUUAGCAGUACACUGAAACUUCUUGCUUUCUAAUUCACAUUGGCCUCCUUGCUUGAAACAGUUGUAACAAGCACUGGAUACUUGUAUUUCAAGAGAGUAAUUAGCUGUUAACAACUCAAAAAUGUUAUUACGUUUCUCAGGCUUGCUAAAUGGGAGCUGAAGAAUUGAACAUAGAAGAGGAAGGCUAGGUAAACGAUGACCCAAAUAAUUAUAGAAUAUAUUAUAAUCUUUGCAGCCUGUGUAGUUCGAAUCCGAACUGGGGGUGUUAUUAAGAGUAUGGCAGCAUUUGAACACUGUUAAAUUCGGAGUAACUUGAAAUGAGAGAAAAGGAGAGCUUGGAAGAGUCAAGUUGCUGAAGGCAUAACAUUGGUUGGAUUUCAGGAGGGUUUGGAGCUCUUCAUCAUGAAUUUGAACGGUAUUGUUUUCAGAUAUACUUUUAGCUUCAUACCACUUUCCUCCCCCCUCCAGUUGGAUUCUCUGAACCGGUUCACUGCAACCGUCCACCGCAAUGAAGCCGCAAUCUGAGUGGGUGGUAUUAGUAAAAGGAAAGCUAAUUCUGCCAAGCUUUCCACAGUUAAAUGGCGGACAGCUUGGAUGGUGAUUUUUUACUUCAGCAGAAGCAUGAAGCAUAAGUAGAGAAAGAAGCAAGAUAAGAUAGAAGGAAGCAAAGGCCAUUUCAG